rnacentral:tRNA from 1 species
UGCACGGAGUGGGAUUUGAACCCACGCACCCAUACGAGUACCAGAACGCCCAAUCCGCUGACUCGCGGCAAGUUAAUUCUUGAGUCUGGCGCCUUAGACCACUCGGCCAUCCGUGC